AUUGAACGCUGGCGGCAUGCUUUACACAUGCAAGUCGAACGGUAACAGGCCUUCGGGUGCUGACGAGUGGCGAACGGGUGGGUAAUGCAUCGGAACGUGCCCAGAGGUGGGGGAUAACGCAGCGAAAGCUGUGCUAAUACCGCAUGUGAUCUGUGGAUGAAAGCGGGGGACCAGGCAGCAAUGUUUGGCCUCGCGCCUUUGGAGCGGCCGAUGUCAGAUUAGGUAGUUGGUGGGGUAAAGGCCUACCAAGCCGACGAUCUGUAGCUGGUCUGAGAGGACGACCAGCCACACUGGGACUGAGACACGGCCCAGACUCCUACGGGAGGCAGCAGUGGGGAAUUUUGGACAAUGGGCGCAAGCCUGAUCCAGCAAUGCCGCGUGCGGGAAGAAGGCCUUCGGGUUGUAAACCGCUUUUGUACGGAACGAAAAGGCUCUGGCUAAUACCUGGGGCUGAUGACGGUACCGUAAGAAUAAGCACCGGCUAACUACGUG
rnacentral:rRNA from 1 species